rnacentral:rRNA from 1 species
AUUGAACGCUGGCGGCAGGCUUAACACAUGCAAGUCGAGCGGAGACUUCGGUCUUAGCGGCGAACGGGUGAGUAAUACCUAGGAAUCUGCCUAUUAGUGGGGGAUAACGAAUCGAAAGGUUCGCUAAUACCGCAUACGUCCUACGGGANAAAGGGGGGGGAUCUUCGGACCUCUCGCUAAUAGAUGAGCCUAGGCCGGAUUAGCUAGUUGGUAGGGUAAAGGCCUACCAAGGCGACGAUCCGUAGCUGGUCUGAGAGGAUGAUCAGCCACACUGGAACUGAGACACGGUCCAGACUCCUACGGGAGGCAGCAGUGGGGAAUAUUGGACAAUGGGGGCAACCCUGAUCCAGCCAUGCCGCGUGUGUGAAGAAGGCCUUCGGGUUGUAAAGCACUUUAAGCGAGGAGGAAGGUCUUUGAAUUAAUACUUCAAAGAAUUGACGUUACUCGCAGAAUAAGCACCGGCUAACUCUGUG